rnacentral:rRNA from 1 species
UACGUAGGGCGCAAGCGUUAUCCGGAAUUAUUGGGCGUAAAGAGCUCGUAGGCGGUUUGUCGCGUCUGCCGUGAAAGUCCGGGGCUCAACUCCGGAUCUGCGGUGGAUACGGGCAGACUAGAGUGAUGUAGGGGAGACUGGAAUUCCUGGUGUAGCGGUGAAAUGCGCAGAUAUCGGGAAGAACACCCGUGGCGAGGCGGCACUCUGGGACGGUACUGACGCUGAGACGCGAAAGCGUGGGGAGCGAACGAGG